UACAGAGGGGGCAAGCGUUAUUCGGAAUUAUUGGGCGUAAAGGGCGCGUAGGCGGCCUGGCAAGUGGAAGGUGAAAUCCCUCGGCUUAACCGAGGAACUGCCCUCCAAACUGCUUGGCUUGAGUCCGGGAGAGGUGAGUGGAAUUCCCAGUGUAGCGGUGAAAUGCGUAGAUAUUGGGAGGAACACCAGUGGCGAAGGCGGCUCACUGGACCGGAACUGACGCUGAGGCACG
rnacentral:rRNA from 1 species